GAGCCUACGGGGGGCGCAGCAGUGGGGAAUAUUGCACAAUGGGGGAAACCCUGAUGCAGCGACGCCGCGUGAGCGAGGAAGUACCUCGGUAUGUAAAGCUCUGUCAGCAGGGAAGAAAAUGACAGUACCUGACUAAGAAGCCCCGGCUAACUACGUGCCAGCAGCCGCGGUAAUACGUAGGGGGCAAGCGUUAUCCGGAUUUACUGGGUGUAAAGGGAGCGUAGACGGUAUGGCAAGUCUGAAGUGAAAGCCCAGGGCUUAACCCUGGGACUGCUUUGGAAACUGUUAGACUAGAGUGCUGGAGA
rnacentral:rRNA from 1 species